GACGAACGCUGGCGGCGUGCCUAAUACAUGCAAGUCGAACGCAGUGGGGACGGGUGAGUAACACGUGGGUAACCUCCCAUCAGAGGGGCUAACACUUGGCAACAGGUGCUAAACCGAUACUGAUGGCUGUACCCGCGGUGCAUUAGCUAGUUGGUGAGGUAACGGCUCACCAAGGCCACGAUGCAGAGUCGACCUGAGAGGGAGGGCGGCCACCCUGGGACGGAGACAGGGACGAUCCACCGACGUGAGGGAGGAGGAGGGAAGAGUUGGCAAUGGAGGAAAGGCUGACCGAGCAACGCAGCGUGAGUGAAGUAGGGUUGCGGAUAGUAAUACUCUGUUGUUAGAGAAGCGGUAGCUAACCAGAAAGUAACGGCUAACUACGUGCCAGCAGCCGCGGUAAUAC
rnacentral:rRNA from 1 species